UAAGGAAUAUUGGUCAAUGGACGAAAGUCUGAACCAGCCAUGCCGCGUGGAGGAUGAAGGUCCUCUGGAUUGUAAACUUCUUUUAUCUGGGACGAAAAAAGGUCUUUCUAGAUCGUCUGACGGUACCAGAUGAAUAAGCACCGGCUAACUCCGUGCCAGCAGCCGCGGUAAUACGGAGGGUGCAAGCGUUAUCCGGAUUCACUGGGUUUAAAGGGUGCGUAGGUGGGUUGGUAAGUCAGUGGUGAAAUCUUCGAGCUUAACUCGGAAACUGCCAUUGAUACUAUCAGUCUUGAAUAUUGUGGAGGUUAGCGGAAUAUGUCAUGUAGCGGUGAAAUGCUUAGAUAUGACAUAGAACACCAAUUGCGAAGGCAGCUGGCUACACAUAUAUUGACACUGAGGCACGAAAGCGUGGGGAUCAAACAGGAUUAGAUACCCUGGUAGUCCACGCCCUAAACUAUGGAUACUCGACAUACGCGAUACACUGUGUGUGUCUGAGCGAAAGCAUUAAGUAUCCCCACCCUGGGGAAGUACGAUCGCAAGAUUGAAACUUAAAUG
rnacentral:rRNA from 1 species